rnacentral:rRNA from 1 species
GAUGAACGCUGGCGGCGUGCUUAACACAUGCAAGUCGAACGAGGUCCAACCUUCGGGUGAAGACCUAGUGGCGAACGGGUGAGUAACACGUGGGGAACCUGCCCUUCUCUCUGGGAUAACGUCGAGAAAUCGGUGCUAAUACCGGAUACUCCUGGCGGAUCGCAUGGUCUGCUCCGGAAAGCUCCGGCGGAGAUGGAUGGCCCCGCGGCCCAUUAGCUAGUUGGUGAGGUAACGGCCCACCAAGGCGACGAUGGGUAGCCGGGCUGAGAGGCUGAUCGGCCACACUGGGACUGAGACACGGCCCAGACUCCUACGGGAGGCAGCAGUGGGGAAUUUUGCACAAUGGGCGCAAGCCUGAUGCAGCAACGCCGCGUGCGGGAUGAAGGCCUUCGGGUUAUAAACCGCUUUCAGCAGGGACGAAAAUGACGGUACCUGCAGAAGAAGCCCCGGCUAACUACGUGCCAGCCGCCGCUGUAAUAC